rnacentral:lncRNA from 1 species
GAGCAGGGUUGAUGAUGCAGACAGAUAUUAAGUGGCACACUCUUUAAAAUUACUAUGCUAUUAAUGAAUCCGGGCAAGGAGCAAAAGAGGCGUUGGCACCAAAAUCACAGAUCUUUCCAUCCAGGGCAGACAGCUGUCAAAGAAAAUAAUACUUGGUGUGAACUAAGCAAAUAUAUCUACCUCCUGUCUCUCUGGAGAAUCACUGGAAUUAAAGUCUAGAAUUAGAAAACAAAAUAGUCAAAACAAUAAAUAGAAUAUGAGAGGUGUCACUGUUACAAAAAUAUUUUAAUACAUUUCUAGAAGACCAUAAUUGGAUGGGGAAAAGCCUUAGCCUAAAGUACAAUAUUGAUUGCUGUAGGAAAAGUUGGGGUUAUUCCAUCUGAAAGAGCUCUGGAAAAUUCCUGUGACUCAGAGGCAGCAGAUAUGAAAGAGGACAAACCUGUGCGGUAGAGCUAUGGUCCACUGGACUGGUCUCUCACUCCUGCCUACACAGUGAAGAUGACAUUUACCCAACUAGACCAUCUGGGGAAGGGUUAUGCUUACAGGCUGACCCAUAAUGACUAGCAAUGAAUGUUUUCUCACAUUGGCAUGGUGGUGAGGUCCAGGUUGACCCUGCUCUACCUGUUCUCCUUAAAAUGAAGCCAACUAACACACCCACAGACCCCACCGCACCCUUCCACUCAGAGUGUCCAGGCAGAAUUCCACGCUCAGGGAAGAAACCGACCAGAAGUAAAAGCAGAGAAAUCAUACCAGCUAUGUGUCCUGUGGAAACCACAGAUUACUAACAUACGAGGACAGCAAGCUGUGUGGAAGAGAGACACCAUAUAAACAAAGAAAAAAAAUGCCCCAAAGGAAACGUAAUUCACAGCACCAGGCAGCUUUUAGAAUUUUUUUUACUUAUCUUCUGAGAUGUUUAAGAAGUUAUCAGGUUCAUAAAACAUGAAAAGUACACAAUCAAAGGAUCAAUCAAAAAACAUGAAAAGCUCUUAAGACAUCAAAAUAUGGAAUCUGAAAUUAAAAUAAACCAACAAAACUAGAAGAUAAUAAUAGCAAAAAUUUGUAUAUACUUACAAUAUGCCAGAUCAUGUUUUAUGCCCUUUAUGUGUGUUAUCUUAUUUAAUUUUCACAACAAUGCUGAUAUAGACACACUAUUAUCCUUUUUUAUAAAUAAGCCUAAAGCACACAAUUGUUAAAUUGUUAAAGGGGCACUUAUUACCCAGUAAAUAAGUGGCAGUAAUGAGAUACAAGCCUUAGUAUUCUGCCUCCAAAAACCUAGCAGUUAGGAAUUAAACUAUAUUUCCUCCCAAAAUACAUGAAUGAUAAAGAAAAAAUAAGUUUAAUAAGGUUCCAAAGGGAGAAAGACAAAAAAUUAUCUACAAAGUAAUAAAAAUCAGAGAGGCAUCAGACAUUUUGUCAACCAUACUUUAUGCCAGAUAGCAAUAAGGCUCUUAAAUUCUGACAUCAAAUGAUUUUCAAUUCAGAUUUAAUAUCAAACCAAGCAGGCCUUUUAUAGGAUUCAAGGACUGAAACACUUGACCUCUUUAAUAUCUCUUAGGAAGUAUCUGGAGUAUGUGUGCCAUCAAAAUGAAGAAGUACAACAAAAAAGAAGGAUGCACAAGAUAAAAAAUAAAUCUGGCCAACCACAGGAAAAAGAGAAAGACAGAGAAAGAGGAAGAAAGAGAGGAAGGGAGGAAAGAAGGAAAGGUGGACAUUACUGUAUGCUGUUGUAGACUUUAUAAACACUGUACACUUAGGAUGUACUAAAUUUAUAUUUUUUCUUUCUUCAG